rnacentral:rRNA from 1 species
GAGUGAACGCUGGCGGCAGGCCUAACACAUGCAAGUCGAACGGCAGCACAGCAGAGCUUGCUCUGUGGGUGGCGAGUGGCGGACGGGUGAGGAAUACGUCGGAAUCUGCCUAUUUGUGGGGGAUAACGUAGGGAAACUUACGCUAAUACCGCAUACGCCCUACGGGGAAAGCGGAGGACCUUCGGCUUCGCGCAGAUAGAUGAGCCGACGUCGG